GACGAACGCUGGCGGCGUGCCUAAUACAUGCAAGUAGAACGCUGAAGGAGGAGCUUGCUCUUCUGGAUGAGUUGCGAACGGGUGAGUAACGCGUAGGUAACCUGCCUGGUAGCGGGGGAUAACUAUUGGAAACGAUAGCUAAUACCGCAUAAGAGUAGAUGUUGCAUGACAUUUGCUUAAAAGGUGCAAUUGCAUCACUACCAGAUGGACCUGCGUUGUAUUAGCUAGUUGGUGGGGUAACGGCUCACCAAGGCGACGAUACAUAGCUGACCUGAGAGGGUGAUCGGCCACACUGGGACUGAGACACGGCCCAGACUCCUACGGGAGGCAGCAGUAGGGAAUCUUCGGCAAUGGACGGAAGUCUGACCGAGCAACGCCGCGUGAGUGAAGAAGGUUUUCGGAUCGUAAAGCUCUGUUGUAAGAGAAGAACGAGUGUGAGAGUGGAAAGUUCACACUGUGACGGUAUCUUACCAGAAAGGGACGGCUAACUACGUG
rnacentral:rRNA from 1 species